rnacentral:rRNA from 1 species
CUAGCCCAAACUUUUAAUAACAAGCGCCAUACAAGACUAAUAAUUGAAACAUUUAAUUACCUGAUAAAGUAUAGGAGAUAGAAAUAUUAUUUGGAGCUAUAGAGAUAGUACCGUAAGGGGGCGAUGAAAGAUAAUUUAAAGUAAUAAACAGCAAAGAUUAACCCUUUUACCUUUUGCAUAAUGAGCUAGCUAGUACAACUUAACAAAGAGAACUUAAGCUAAGCACCCCGAAACCAGACGAGCUACCUGCGAACAAUUUAUAGGAAUGAACUCAUCUAUGUAGCAAAAUAGUGAGAAGAUUUGUAGGUAGUGGUGAAAAGCCUAACGAGCCUGGUGAUAGCUGGUUACCCAGAACAGAAUUUUAGUUCAACUUUAAAUUUACCAAACAAACCCAAAAUUCUUAUGUAAAUUUAAAAUAUAAUCUAAAAAGGUACAGCUUUUUAGAUAAAGGAUACAGCCUUACUUAGAGAGUAAAUUAUAUAAUAA